UUUUUUAUAUCUAUGGAGUGAAGAAAGGAACACACUUGUUACUGACCAUGUUUUUCCUAUAUCAGUAUUAUGGAAAAAUAUCCCAAGUAAAAUAGAUGCAGUUUUUGAAUCAAGAAAUUCCAACUAUAUAUAUUUCUGGAAAUGGAACAUGCGUCACAUGAUGUAUUAUCAAGUGGAUAACAGCCAAGGUGGAGUUGUCAAGUCAGGAAACUUUAAGUCUUUCUUUGGAUUUUGUCCUGUAUAAAGUAAUGAUUGUCAAAAUAAGAUAUUUUGUUACAAAAUCAACAUUAUCAUAACCAUUGGUUAAUAUGUUUGUGAGCCUAAAUCUUUACUUUAAAGGAAGUGAUAUUCAAAAAUAUACAUGUGUGUCUGUAUAUAUAGAUAUAAACAUAUAGAUAUAAAUAUAUAUAUAUAUAUAUAUAUAUAUAUAUAUAUGUACUUUGUUACCAUUCAUGAGAUUAUUUUUGUAAUAUACUCUUUUUUUUUUCUUUUUAACUCAAUAAAAUAAAUAGGUCUUUUAUUUUAUUGAGUGUGCAAGUGUACAUUUUGGGUUGUAUUGCAAUUUAAAUGCCAUCAACCUAAAACAAUAAUUUGAAAAGAGAAACUUUGAAAUUUUUCUCACAAACCUUGACCAACAAUGACAAUAAAGGAGGGACCACAAAAAUAGAUAUUAGAUACUCUGGUUGCUAGAACAACUUUAUAUAUUUAUAAAUAUUUGAAAGCUAAAUCUGUCACUGCUGGUACACUAAAUUCUUAAAUAGAGCUGCUGGUCUGGACAUAACUAGGAUGUUUCCUCCUUGGCACAAUGGAAUGUACCACAAGUAAAAAUUGACAGCAGUACGAUGCUUCAUUAAGAUUGUGUGCUGCUAGAAGAGUAUAUAGAGUGAUAGAGGAAGGAACAGUAUCCUUGUUUUCAUUAUAUAAGUUUACUAAAUGUGAACUAUUCAAUAACUUCGGAAAUGGGUUGUACCAACUAAAGUCUUUUUGGUUUUAUGAAGAUAUUGCCAAGAGGAAUAUGAAGUAAUUAUUUAUGUGGUGAAGUUUGUCAAAACAGUUAUUUAUUUACAAAAAAAAAAAAAAUGAUUUUAUUUAAUUUUUUUAUCUUUUAUCUAUAUUAUUGAAAUUCUUUUAAAGUCCAAUAAUUUAUGUUAACAUGAUUUUUUUAAAUUGUUGUAAAUCGUGUUCAAGUGAGGAAAAAGAAACAAAAAUGUGAUAAUAUAUAUACAUAAAAGUGUAUGUAAAUAUGUGUAUGUACAUAUUUAUAUAUAUUAUUGAUUUAAUUCAAUUUUAUAUGAUUUAUUUAUAAUACCAAGCUUUUUUUUUUUAAUUUAAUGUAUCAUAUUUGCCAGAUAUUUUUUUAAUGAAUGCAUACUUUUGCUCAGGAGAGGAAGAUUAAGAUUAAGUGAUUCAAAAGAUGUGAUAGCAUGCAUGUAUGUGUAUAAGUAACUACAUGUUUGCAUGUAUAAUAUAUAUAGUGUGAUUAUAACUAAAUUGUCUGAAACUUUGAAGUCACUGUCAAUAAUAUUCUUGUCUAAGAAUAAUAAAUAUACAUUUAUAUAUGUGUGUGUAUAUGUGUGUGUGUGUAUAUAUGUGUGUGUCCAUUCAAAUUGUACUAUUCUGACGUCAUAUUAUAUUUAUCAUUUAUAUAUAUUUAUAUAUACACACGUAUGUGCAUAGCUAUCUGAGUAUGUAUCUGUGUGUGUAUGUAUAACAUUCUAUUCUCAGCUGUGCUUUUUCUAGACUAUUUAUUAUUCUGUAAUUAUUUAUCAGAAAUUCUGUCCUCUGUCAACUAUGACAUCAUUAUUUAUUUACUGAUAUUUUUAAGAUAUGUGUUUUUAUAUAACUGUAUAUGUACCUCUGUGUGUGGAAAUUCCUUUCUCUGUAUAUCUGAUAUACCUUUAAAUCAAUUUCUUUUUCUUUUUUUUAUAUAUAUAUAUGGUUUGCCAGAAUCAGUAGAGCAUUGGACAAAAUGCUUUGUGGUAUUUAGAAAUUAAAGGCAUUUCCCUUUAAUUUCAAACCCUGUAGGUCUCAUGUUGCCUUUCUCUCAACUGGAAUUUAUUUUAUUCAUCCAGAGGUGAAUUGUCAACAGAUGUUUAUAUAUUUCUGUGCAAGCUUGCAAAGACCGUCCAAUGCAUACAUGCAUGAAAUAAGACAAAAUUAUGAUGAUGAUGAUGUAUAUUUAAGUAUGUAUGUAUACAUGUAUGUAUAUGUGUGUAUGGGUGUGUCUGUGUCUGUGUGCAUGCACAUAUACAUAUAAAUGUAUAUAUGUAUUUUUUAUAGCUAUAUAUACAUAUACAUUUAUAUAAAAAUGUAUAUGUAGAUAUACACAUAUACAUAUGUACAUAUGCACAUACAUAUAUAUAUAUAUACAUAUAAACAUACAAACAUAUAUAUAUGUGUGUUUGUGUGUGUUUAUGUAUGCAUGUGUGUGUGUAUGUAUGUAUGUAUGUAUGUAUAUGUAAUAUUAUUGGAAGUAUUAGAAAGUUCAAUGGCUAUUAGCUUCAUCUGAAGCACAAAACCACAAGAAUUCCAGCCAGAUUAAAACUCUCACUGAAGAGUCUGACAAUGUUAUGCUAUUUAUCAUUGUGCUUUAUCAAUUGGCACAUAAAACAGAAAAGAAAACCAGCCUGCUUUUUGUCUAAGCAAAAGUGAGAUUAAUGUAAUCAGAAAUUUCUGGAGUAGAUUUAUGCAAUGAAAUCACCUUGGAAACAAAAUUAAAUAGGCAACGUUUUCUUUUUAUAUAUUUUUUAUCUUUUUUAUAAUCAUUUAGUGCUUUACAGCACAUUGAUCCGUCCAUGGUUUUUAUAGCAUGUUUGUUGAAAAGAAGUUACAAGCUUCUCACUCAACUCUUCACCAGGUCAUUGCGAGUAGUCUCAAACCAGCGUACUGAUUCUGACAGAGCAGGAAAGAGAAGAGUCAACCUAUGUAUCUGAUUGUUCAUUAUACUUGUUGCCUAGAGAUGGAUGAAGGCUAAAGUUAACCUUGGAUGGUUUGAACUCAGAAUGCAAACAGCCAGGUCAAAUAAAACUGUUUGAAAUAAAGAAAAAGACUUUAAGAAAUAAUAAAAGUCUUUAAGACUGUGGCUGAUAGUUUAUCCUGAGAAAAACAUGUUUAUAUGUAAACAUCUGCAGUUUCCCAUCCAAGAUAAAACUUCAUUGCAAAGUUUUGAACUUUCCAAUAUUUUUAAUAUAGUUCAUGUGCAUCAUAUUACAUACAUCAUAUUACGUGUGUGCAUAUAUGCAUAUAUUAUUCAUUGUAUAUCCACCUUAAGUAAGAUAUAUGGAAUGCUAUUCUACAUUGAUUCUGCUUUUGUUACUAAUAAAGAAAUUUUAAGUAGCCUGCUGGUUAUUUGUGACACCAGUGAUUUGUUAAUCACUGUCUUUCUACAUACAUAGGGGCAAAAUUUGUCUAAGCAUGUAAUUUAUAAUGAAUACUAUCUACUGAUGAUGUGCAAAAAUGCAGAAAUCUAGAGUUAGCAAUUCUAUUCUUGUUUCCAGACACAUUUUGUCUACUACUGACAUGCUUCUUUGCUUUUUAGCACUGUACAUCAAGAUGAACGGUGCAGUUUUGUGGUUUUCUACAGUAUAUCCAUACUGUGAUAUACAGAAUGCUUUUCUGAUCUAACCACUAAUCAUAUGUAGUUAUACACACGUAUAUAUAAAACUACAUAUGAUUUGAGUAUAUGUGUGCGUAUCUGUGUGUGUGUGUGUGUGUGUACUGUUGGAGUGACAUUCUCACCUUUGAUAACACAGAAAAUAUAAAAAGAAUGAAAUCUCUUUAAGUAUUUUUUAUAGAGUAUAUAACUUAACAUAAUUUAUAUUUCCUUUUUGGGUUGUUUAUUUUAUAUUAUAAUGUCUGAUGUGAUAAACUAAAUUUUUUUUUUUAUAUAUGUAUAAAUAAUGACGUAAUUUUCAAAAACUUGUCCAUAUAAACAAGAUUUUGAAAUUUUAAACAUGAUAUAUUUAUAAUUAUUUAUUCAAUUUUCUUGGAAAUAAAUAUUUUAAAAUUAA